AACAUACGGUUCUUCCAUCCAAGAUCUCAAUCUAUAAUCCUUUUUUUUUUUUAAAUCUUUCCUUUCAUUGCUCUUUGGGUCGAGUUUUUCUAAGAGAUCUGCAUUCUUUUCUUGGGAACUUUUUUUUUGGAUCAAGGUGGGUCCUUGAGUCUCGUUUUUGGAUCAAGAUCUACUGAUAUGCCGGCGAAAACUUCGUGGAUCUUAUAAAACAAUAUUAUUUUUUAAUGAAUUUUUUAAAUCCAUAUUCGCUAAUGGAUCCUGCGACGUUCUCUGAAAAAAAAAAAAAAAAAAAAAAAAAGAUGGAUUGGAUUCACCAGCUCUCCUAUCUUUUCUAUCUGUCCAAGGUGGGUUUGAUUCUCUAAUUUUUCUCUCUUUAUCUUAGCGCAAAUGCGAAGGAAGUUGGAAGCCAUGCCGAACAUCCGGCCGUUUUCCGAGUUUCCGGACCCAAUCCGGUUUGGUUUUGAUUCGUCACUUUGCUGAAGUCCUGCUUGGUUUAGACUCUAGAAAACGCCGGUCCGAGUCAUUGAACCGCGAACCACUUCGAACCGGACCGUCACGUGCACGGAUGGGGGUUGUUGCGGUUGGUGAUAGACCUGUCCAAAGUCCUUGCACUUCUCUGAAGUCUCUCCUCUUUUAUCCAGUUGGGCUAAUUCCGACAGAGCCCAAAGUAGGAGGAUCCUGCAAAUUUAUGCUGGAUUCCAUUGCCAGUGCUUGUGUUUUGCUGUUGUUUGUUACAGAUGCCAUCGGGAAGAGAGGUGAUGCUGAAAAGGUCUUGCUAACUAAUGUUAAUCAUAUGUCAAGGAGAACUACCUAAUCUUAUAGCAUCUAGAUAUUUUCCAUGACGUGUCACUCUAAUGUGUAAAUCAAAUUUUUGCACUCAGUGGAGAAAGAUUUUAUAAUCUUCCAUGUCAUAUGCAGAACAUGAUGAUGAAGAGCUGUUAAAUAUUGCUUUACUUGGAAGCCUUGUGUGAAAAGAAAAAAAGAAAGUGAAUUAGGACUUGCCA